CAAACUCUAGAUUUUUACUUUUAGCAUGUCUGAGUGGAAUCAUUACAAAAUGAAUCAAAACUUUCAACAACGGAUCUCUUGGUUCUGGCAUCGAUGAAGAACGCAGCGAAAUGCGAUAAGUAAUGUGAAUUGCAGAAUUCAGUGAAUCAUCGAAUCUUUGAACGCACAUUGCGCCCGCCAGUAUUCUGGCGGGCAUGCCUGUUCGAGCGUCAUUUCAACCCUCAAGCCCCAGUGGUUUGGUGUUGGGG
rnacentral:rRNA from 1 species